CAAGCAGUUAACAAAACAAGCCUAUUAGCUAGGGUUGAGGUAGGGAACCUUGUACCAGUGUGCUUGCUCUCAAGACUUCUCUAAGAUUCCAGUGAAUGGAAACAUAGUGCCACAAUGUCACAAGCAGAAAUACUGUAGGAAGUUAUUGGACCUUUCCCAAAAGGGAAGGAUGGUGGGUGGUUCAGUUUUGUGUUUGUUAUGAUUUGGAUAGCAAAUGUCUUCCACAGGCUUUUUGGUGAACAUAAGAUCUCAACUGAUGGCUACCUUAAGAGGCUGAGGGGACUAUAUAAGGUGGGGAUAACUAAAGGAAGUAGGUAACUUGAGUAUGGGUCCUUUGGUGCAUGUUGUCACUGGUGAGUUCCUGACAUACUCUGCAUUCUCUCUGCCAUGAAAGCAUUUCUUCCAACUACACACUCUGGCCAUUAUGUGGUCAAAUACAUACAGCCUGUGACUGUGGACUGAAUGCUCUGAGACUUAUGAGCCAAAUAAGCCCUUCUUCCUUUUAAGUUUUUCUGCCAGGUACUUUGCUCACAACAACACAAAACCUUAAAUCAAUGGUCUACUUCAGUGCUUUUCUCUCGAGAAAUAAUUUUGAGUUCAGUGUACAUGGACUGGUCAGGCUGAGAGCCCUAGUAAGGGUGAAAAGGACAAGGCUGGUCACUCUGACCCAGUUCUAAAAUGAAAAUAACAACUUCCCUCAAGUAAGUGACUCCCAAAGCAUGCUUUUGACAGUGGGGAAGGGUGGGAACCCUGAAAAUGUCCGAAACCUCACGUGGUCCUUACUGCUUCCUCCUCAAUCUCUUCUCUCCGUCUUUCCAUCUUAAAAUUAUCAAACGUACUUGCUGACACCAUCUCUAGGCAUUAGUCUUUUCAGAUGGGUUCAUAAGAAUUACACAUAUUUAUGAGUCCACAAAAAUACCACUGAGUUCAUUUUGGGUUACCCAACUAUAACCAUCUAUGGGGCUUGCCCUGGAGUGUGGUUGAUAUACCCAGUAAUACUCCACUGAAGAAAACUGAUUUCCUCUUUGCCAGUUGUUAUUAAUUGCAGCGUUUGUUGGUUAGGAGUAGGACUCCAUGUCUACUUCUUUCUCUCUCUGUCCUUGCAGGCAUGUUGUCAUUACUGAGUUCCUGGCGUAGUCUAUAUUCUCCUUGCUAUGAAAGCACUUCUUCAAACUACACACUCUGGCCAUUAUGUGGCCAUAUGAAUAUAGCCUACAACUGUGGACGGAAUGCUCUGAGAUCCUGAACAAAAUUUGUCCUUCCUUUUAAGUCUUUCUGUCAGGUACUUUGCUCACAGCAACACAAAACCCUAAUAGAAUGGUCUAUUUCAGGUUGAUGAGAUUUAUACUAAUUAACCAAUUGAGCCACCAAUCCCUUUUUUCCAAGUCAGCCAGCUUCAGAUUGUGUUGCUUGAGAACAAGAUCGUUGACUCUUCUGUGUAGUCUUGAAUGUUACAUAUGUAGGUGGGGGUUUUACCAGAAUUGAUUGUAUAAGUCAGGGAUGAUCUUGCUAGGUUGGGGCCUAUAGCUGGUCAGAGUGCAUUAAUAUCUUGCCAGAUAUGGUAGUAUAAAAGUAGAAGACACUUAAUCAUUGUGACUUGUCAGAACACUGAUGCACUAAUUAAGAAUGCUGGGCUGAUACUCUCGAGCUGACAGACUUGGCUGUCAGGAGAUGGUACUGAAGUUGCUUCUCAGCCAGCUUUAACUACUACCCUGUGAGCUUUUGUUCCUGUGAGGUGGGGUAUUUUUGUGCUGAGCAGCCCUCUGGCUAUUCCGAGAGUUUGGCUGGAAGAGGUAUGGUAUGCUCCAUUAGUCAAGGAACAGAACUGCUGAGUCUGAAAUAUUUAAUCCACAAGCAACUCAUAUUUGCUUGGGUCAGCCAGAGUCUAGAGGAGUCUAGAUGACCAACUUUUGUCUUGGAAUAAGAGUGAACAAUUUACCUUUGGCCCAAAGUGAGUCCAGGAAAACACAUUUCCUCAUGGGUGUGUUUGCUGAGUGAGCAACUGACCUGUGUUGGCUGUGUUGUAGCCCAGAUGAUUGUUAGCAAUAGGCAUUUCUGUGUGGAAAGGAUCUUGGAUAAAGGGCACAGGAAGAUGCUCCUUAUGGCCAUUUUCUGAGAAAGCAAUGUGUUAGUGCUUGAAUGAGAUUUGUGCCAAAGGGACAGUUUUGACACUGGUGCUAUCCUUCUAUGUCUGACAGCCUGGCCCUUGGAUGACAGAGACUAGUACAGUUCUUUCCAGAAAGAUCCAAGCGCAUCCACCUCAGGAUUGGUUUGCUGUAUAACAAAGCAAUGCAAUAGUUUUUGACUUCAAUAGUACUAGUCUCACUCCUAUCCUCAUAUCUAACACCUGAGAUAAUCAGCUUCUGAAUAGAAAAGGUUUAUGGAGUAGGCCGUUGCUUUUUAGGCCUCUAGUGGGUAUGAUAGAUAGCAGUGAUGGGAAGAGAGGGCCUGGUAGAGCAAACUGCUCAGUCUUAACCUACCCAUCUUGCCAAGCUACGGUGAUUACUGUUAAGAAAGUCUGAGAUUUACUCUUAGCUCAGUAACUCUGGAAGCAGCCAUAGAACAGUAGAUGUGUUUAUGUGAAGCAGUUAGAGCCACUUAGCCUUCAGUUUAAGAAAUGGCUUCUUCCCUGCUUUCCAUCCCAGAAAUAAAUCAGGUCACCCUUGAUAUACUCGGCAGCGGUCUGAGUUGACCUGAUGUAUCAGCACUUUAUGGGGUGAUUUGCAGUACGCCCCUUCCUUGAGUCUGUGGGUAAAGGUGCCUCCUUCCUGUCACUAAUGAGUUUCCGGAAUUUUGUCAUGUUUUUCAGUGUUCCUGAGAGUUCAUAGACAACAGUCGAUCAUAAUCCUUCUCCAAUAGUGUCACCCUCCGGAACACCAAGGGCGGUGGAAAGGAAUUUCCAGUUUUCCAAGAUAGCAAAUCUCGUGUGAUCUAUACCUGCAAUGGACAAGGCUCAGUCUGAAGAUGCACUGACUGUGGAUGCAACGUGACCAGCUGCUCCAUGCUCCCGCUACCCUGCCUGGCCUGCCGUGCUGAGCUGUACCUUUAAACUGCAAGCCAAAAGAAACCCUUCCUCCCUCAAGUUGUUUUCAUUAGGUAUCAAGCAGUGAGAAAACUAUCGUGAUGCAAAUGGCUUGCUCCAUGGUAUACUUCCUGCUAUGAUAACCAUGUAGCAGAUCCUCCAAACAGUAAGCCAAAAUAAAUUAUUUAAAUUUGCUUAUUUCUAGUACUUUUGUCAUAGAGGCCAUGCUGACCAGCAUACCUGCUGAUGUGUAUGCUCGUGGAAGUUUAUGCAUAUUCAUGUGCUCACAUAUGCUCAUCAGGACUUGAUGUCUAGUACUGAAAUUCACUGUAAUUUCAUGUGGUUCACAGAAAUACCAUGCCCCACCUGUUCAAGCCAUUCACAUCUACCCAGCUGCUAAGUGAAGUCCCUUGCUGUCCUUAAACUCCCCACACCCAGGGAGUCACCAGAUGGGUUUUACUGCACAUUAUUAAUAGUUUUCCAUGAUCAUUCCCAAAGGCUACCUGCUCAUGAAGGAAGAAAUCAUUAUUUCCUCUGAGCCUGGCUGACCCCUGGAUGCUGUCACCACCAUACCAUUCCACUGCCAAGAGAACUCAGCUAUGUGUUUGCAGCCCUGACAUCUGGAUCCUUCCUGCAUAGUUCAGGGAUCCACCCCUUCCUUGCUUUGCCUCAGAAACCCAGCUCUCUGCCUGUGCAAUGAUGCAAUGCCUCCUGGCUGGAACAAGCUGAGACCAAGGACUAGACAUGGCCCACCUGCCCCCAGAGGCACCUUGGCUAUGAGCUCUCUCUUUGCUUCCAGGAUCCACAUUUUUGGAAGAGCGCCCUUCCCUUUCCUCCAUUGCCAGGGCUUUUUGUUCCUGCCCACCACGCCCAGCACCUGCCCUAAUCAUCUAUCCUAGACACUUCCUGUAUGUCUCUAUAAGAAAGGUGGGGGCCCUGGGGACCAGACAGGGAGAGUGAGUGAUGGAUGUUAUGCCAUGGGAAUGGUUAUACCAUCCAAGAAUGUAGGAUACCCUUCUAGACUAGUCGAUGACAACUCUAUCUGGAGGCUCAGUUUCACCUUAAUGAAAACCCUAACCCAAACACAGAGUUGCUAGGGAUUUGAGCAAGGACAGCUUUGGGGAAAGUGAGACGGAGAGAAAGGAACCCAACUUUGCUCUAGAUAUAGGCCACUAAGCUUUGUUUUCAUAUCCUGUGAAGGGAGACAAGCUGAAACUGAGGGCCUGCUCAGACCUCCUCCUCUACAUUUCUUUUUUGAUCUUGCCUCCAGUUUCUGAGCUUGCCUAGUGUUUUCUCUGACUAAACCAACGUGGUUAUUCUUGCUUGUCUGGUAAGGCCAGAGAGCCUAGAAGGGUUGGAGGCAGCACAUUCCUUAGAGCAGAAGUUGCUGAGAGAAGUUGUGGCUCCUGUCUCUCUGUAGGUAAGUGACUUGUCUAAUUCAUUAAGUUCUUGGCUGCCAGCAGAGACCAGAUCUUUCAUUGCCUCUCUUAUGACAAGUCUCCUGUAACUGUGGGUGAAUGCUACUCUCAGAAACUUUCAGGGAGAGAAAACUUUAUCCAUUGAGAAAGUGUUUCAGAUCAAGGCUGAGCCUCCCUCUGACCCUCCCCUCUUAGGGUUCAAACUCUGAUAGUUCAAGAGCUCAUAAACAGUCAGUUUGGAAAUGUCAUUGAGAGGAGCUGAUGUAGGCCCCAAACUUUCCAAAGGUUUUUGAAAGUACUUCUAAGACCUGAGGGAAUGGUCAGUAAGCACACAAAGGGGUAUGCAGUACUUGUAGUUGUUGCAGUAUCCACAGGCAUCAUGGAGAUGCAGAGUAACAUCACAGUGAACAUCAUUGCAUACCCAUUGGGAUGACCAAGUCGAAUAGUAUGAGCAGGACCACAACAAGUGUUGGGGGGAAAAUGGGGACCUUACUGGAGGGAAGGUAAGGUGCUACCAUCACUUUCAAAAACUCUUUAUUAGUCUUUUAGCCAGUUGAAUGUUACGUGUCUUUUACACUGUACAAUGAUAUCCUGAGAUGUUUAUUUGGGAAAAAUGAAGUGUUAUGUCUGAAAAGAUGAUGCACAGUGACUCAUGACAGACUUAUUCACAGUAGUUCUAAGCAGGACAUAGUCUUAUUGUCCAACAGAGGAAAAUGGGUAAAGAGUUGUGGCAUAGUAAUCCUGUCUCAUCCAUUGUUUUCUUUUUCAGUCACCUGCUUGAACUAGAGCUGGAAAAGUGCCAGCUAUAGUUGACACUAUAUCAACUAGACAAUUCUGGAAGCAUAUAACUUGUAACUUCUAAAAUGUCCGUCACUCCAAGAAGUCUGAUAGAAUUUUAUCAGCCCAUUGGGGAGUGUGAAUUACUCUUCGGUCCAGCAUACCAUAUGUAGCCAGGGUAGACCCUGUCUGCUCUGAACUUCAUGCUGAAUAGUAACAGCAUCAUAGUCAUGAGAGUCACUGUGUGGCUUCACAGCACUUAUGUUCAGGCAACUCGCAUUUUGCCUCAGCACUCUGAGCGAGUACAGAGAAGCAGUAACCCUGAUUAGCUGCUGUGGGCAUUUUCGAGGUGCCUACUUGGUGCCCCAACAUGGUUACAAGUGUGUUGUUGGCAUAGCCCGAGAAGUUUGAUGUUCAAAGGACAUGAAAGAUGUGAAACAGUGCUGAACAAGUCACCCACAGCUGAGUGGGUAUAGACACAGCUUGACUAUCAGGAAGGUCAUCAGGAAGAGAGAUGUCCACAGAGGACAGGAGAGCAGGAGGAGUCUGGGCUCUAGGGUGGCCAGAGAAUUAAGGAGUGCCUCUUCCCCAGGCCUUCAAGAGCUUUUAGUAACCUGUGAAGCUUCCCUGAUUUGGAGAAGAGCCAGAAAGUUGCCCUCAGCUUGGAGAGUGACAGUCCAGAAUAUUGUGGCUUUAUAAAUGGCUUCCUUCUGCUAUAACCACGAGAAGUAUCUCGAAGAACCUCUUUUGCAGUAAUACCCUUUAGCAAAGUGAGUGAAGAAAGUCAAGGCAGUUCUUUUGUAGGAGCAGUCUUAGCUCCAUUCAGUUUCCCUAGCCUUUUUCUCUUGCUUCUAGGAAUAACUGAAUAGCAUGCUGAAAAAUACAAUCCUGAGAUAACAGAGGAACAGUCACAGCAGAUGCAGUUUUGUUCCCACUUUAAGAAGUGUACCCUUCAGGACUUUAGCCCUGGGAAUCCUGUGAUUUGAGAAUGUGAAAGGGUCUCUCAUUUACAGCACAAAUAGAGCACAGCCCACAAAGACACCAUCCAUCUGUGUAACCUGUUGAGUCUCUACCAUAUCAGCUGGUUGGUAGAGGAAAUACAGAAAGAAAUAAAAGGCACAAAUGGAAGAGACAGGGACCCCCUCCCUUUAUUUUUUUGCCCCACUGGGGCUGGUUCCAGUUCUUCUGCAAAUAAGUGGUGCUUGGUUUAUGUACUUAGGUCAUAGUCCUGGUACACAUGGGAGAUUCUAGGUAUGUUGGUAUCACAGCAGAAAUGGAGCCAGGGUAGGCACUGUUAUUAAGAAGAGCAUAAUGGAAGCUAUCAUCACCUCUUGCUCAUUUGUCUGUGAGUAUCCUAGACACUGAAGAUGCCGUGUAUUUUGUGUCAGGAUCGACACAUACUCUAGAUUGGACAGGACAUCUAAUUCACUGAGUUUCUGGAAGGGUUCCUACUGUGGAGGAGGCAGGAAUGAGCGAUAGUAAGGAAGAGAGCAAUGGCUGUUUCUGCCUCACUAGGAAGGGGCUGGAGGUGCAGAAAACAGGUCUUGUUGCUGUUAAAAGGUGUGAGAUGUGAAAUUUGCUCUCAGGAUAGCCCAGGGAAGUCCAAUUCUAUCAGUGCCAGUGACCAGUGCAAGAUUGUUGAGGGCACAAUCUCUUUGGGUUAUACAAAGGCUUUCUACUCUAGUGUUCAUUCCUUCUUAAAUGUUGUAUCCCAGGGACUGACUCACUGUUAUUCUGACCAUGACAGUUAUUGUUAUUAACACCUCAAUCACUCCCCAAACCUUUCUCUGCUUGGAAAAAAAUAACAUGGCAUUCUACGCAGAGAACAGUGAUGGUUUGACAACUGUAGAGAUACUGACUCCAGGGACCAGCAUCCUGGGAUGGGGGAAAUGGUCUUGGCUCACUCUGGAGAGGGCAUGAGAGCUACACCGUCCUAAUGUUUAUGAAAUCUGUAUUGCGAGAAGGCCAUGUCACAAUGUAAUUGGGAGCCAGGGUGGAUCUCCUGAACUUUCUUUUAUAACUAAGGUAGUGGGUGACCCCUAGUUAAAAAAAACACUUUUGCAAAGACCUUAUGUCAAGCUGAUGCUCUGGGUCCUGGGUCUAGAAUCACCCUGAGUAGCUCUCCACUGGAGCAACCUGGAAAAAUUCUGGAGCUUCUUGGUUGGAGCCUAGAUAAGGGGCCUGAGAACCUUUCCAUCAAGACCUAGAUCUGUGCCACUCCUGGAUAUGUCCUAAGAAAAUGUUCUCAAGGAAUCAGAGUCAUUUAUUUCCAUUCCAAGUCAUUUGCUUGGGGUUCAUAAUUUUUUUUCCUUCCUAACUGCUUGGCACAGAGGAAGAUCAACAGAGGUGCCACAGAGAUAUAAAGAAGGAGAGUGUCACCUGGUAGAGAAGCUUCCUGAGGAGGUAAGUGUGGGCAGGGGGAAGAGAGGGUGUUUAGGGCUAGCAGGCAAGAGCUUGGAAUGAGGUCUCAAAACUAGCAUUAGGUGUGCACGGAUUGGGGGCAUGGGCACAGGUUCCAGGCUCCUUUGCCUCAGCACUCAUGUCCUCCUCUCUCCCACAUUCCCUGGACAUUGGCCCAGGAACAGUCUUGCUUUUUGGUUAAAUCUCAUCUGAUUCCAUCUGUGGUUUGGGAACGAGAUCCACAGAAAAGAAAUGUGCUGAAGAUGUAAUAACAGACCAUGACAAGUGCUUUCCUCUCAUCACUCAGAAGACAGGAGGUCAAGUGGCUGGUGAAACUCAGUGGUAUGCUUCCAGAGGUCUUGACUGGUGGCCAGGCUACAGUGGCUUUCAUGUUAGUGCUGGCCUGAGUCAGUAACAGAUGGCUUCCUUAGAGAAACAAUAGUUUGCAGUGCAGUUCGGCAAGCCUUGCUGCCUUUGCCAAGGGCUUUCUGGAACCGGAUGACCUCCUGUUCCCUUGAGGUCUUCAGUUGCUAGCCCUCCCUUCCUUCCCAGUCCCUUGUUCCCCUCUCCUAUGCUAUUCAGGUCCCUGGCAACACUCCUGCCAUCCAGCAGGAUCAACAUCUCUGCCCUCAGCUUGUAUGAAAGUGAAGUGUUUGAGUGGGAAAGAACCUUCUAGCAUUUGAGGUGCUCGGUCCCAAAGGAUGGAUAUAUCUGUAGGAUGAUAUUAGGAAUCUCUAACUGAGAAGAAGCCCAGGAAAAACUCCUGGGCAAUUCUUUCCAUGUAUUCAAAUUUUGUUCUGAAAUUUCACUGAGCCACCAGUGUCAUUAAACAGUUCUGUUUCUCUAUUGAAGCCCCAAACCUAGGUCAACCUCAAAACAUGGCACUCAGAUAAUAUGAAAGACAAUGUGCUCUUCACUAGCACCACUGAAUGCAGCAAUGAGCACACCAGAUCCCUAAAUAUUCACCCUUAAAAAUAACUCUCCUCCAUAGCCAAAGAUGCGGAAAAAAAUUACCAAACAAACAAAACC
rnacentral:sRNA from 1 species